UACAGAGGGGGCAAGCGUUGUUCGGAAUUACUGGGCGUAAAGGGCGCGUAGGCGGCCUUCUAAGUCAGACGUGAAAUCCCCCGGCUUAACCUGGGAACUGCGUCUGAUACUGGAAGGCUUGAGUGCGGGAGAGGGAUGUGGAAUUCCAGGUGUAGCGGUGAAAUGCGUAGAUAUCUGGAGGAACACCGGUGGCGAAGGCGGCCAUCUGGACCGAUACUGACGCUGAGGCGCGAAAGCGUGGGUAGCAAACGGG
rnacentral:rRNA from 1 species